rnacentral:rRNA from 1 species
CCUACGGGUGGCAGCAGUGGGGGAUAUUGCACAAUGGGCGGGAGCCUGAUCCAGCCAAGCCGCGUGAGGGAAGAAGGUACAGCGUAUCGUAAACCUCUUUUGUCAGGAAAGAAAAUGACGGUACCUGACUAAGAAGCCCCGGCUAACCACGUGCCAGCAGCCGCGGGAAUACGUAGGGGGCAAGCGUUAUUCGGAUUUACUGGGUGAAAAGGGAGCGUAGACGGUAGCGCAAGUCUGGAGUGAAAUGCCGGGGCUCAACCCCGGAACUGCUCUGGAUACUGUGAAGCUGGAGUGCAGGAGAGGUGAGCAGAAUUCCUGGUGUAGCGGUGAAAUGCGUAGAGAUUAGGAGGAACACCAGUGGCGAAGGCGGCUUACUGGACUGUAACUGACGUUGAGGCUCGAAAGCGUGGGGAGCAAACAGGAUUAGAUACCCGGGUAGUC